rnacentral:rRNA from 1 species
GACGAACGCUGGCGGCGUGCUUAACACAUGCAAGUCGAACGGAAAGGCCCUGCUUUUGUGGGGUGCUCGAGUGGCGAACGGGUGAGUAACACGUGAGUAACCUGCCCUUGACUUUGGGAUAACUUCAGGAAACUGGGGCUAAUACCGGAUAGGAGCUCCUGCUGCAUGGUGGGGGUUGGAAAGUUUCGGCGGUUGGGGAUGGACUCGCGGCUUAUCCGCUUGUUGGUGGGGUAGUGGCUUACCAAGGCUUUGACGGGUAGCCGGCCUGAGAGGGUGACCGGCCACAAUGGGACUGAGAGACGGCCCAGACGCCUACGGGAGGCAGCAGUGGGGAAUAUUGCGCAAUGGGCGGAAGCCUGAUGCAGCAACGCCGCGUUCGGAAUGACGGCCUUCGGGUUGUAAACCGCUUUCGCCGGUGACGAAGCGUGAGUGACGGUAAUUGGUAAAGAAGCACCGGCUAACUACGUG